UUAGCGGCGGACGGGUGAGUAACACGUGGGUAACCUGCCCAUAAGACUGGGAUAACUCCGGGAAACCGGGGCUAAUACCGGAUAACAUUUUGAACCGCAUGGUUCGAAAUUGAAAGGCGGCUUCGGCUGUCACUUAUGGAUGGACCCGCGUCGCAUUAGCUAGUUGGUGAGGUAACGGCUCACCAAGGCAACGAUGCGUAGCCGACCUGAGAGGGUGAUCGGCCACACUGGGACUGAGACACGGCCCAGACUCCU
rnacentral:rRNA from 1 species